GAGGCACUGGAAAAAAAAUGUUACUGAUGAAGUUUUCAGAUGGUAGAAGUGAUGAAUAACGAAGAGGACAGGUCAUGGGUACUUAAAUUAUCUGGAUUGCUUGAUACAGAAAAACAACUAUUCAGAUUUGGAUCUCUUCACUCAUCUAGAAUAGCACUUUACUCCUAUGGAACAGGGUGCUGUUCCAAAGAAAGGUGUCAGAAUCUGGCCUCAAGGCAUUUCAACCACAGAUGCAAAGUUUUCUGCUUCUCUGAAUUCUUGAAGGCUGGAAGUCUUACAACACACGCAGAAAAAUCUAU